AAGCUUGUAGCUCAACGGCAGAGCAGCCACCAGCCUAUUCGAAGGCUGAUGUGCAUCUUGCGGGUUCAAGUCCCGCCAGGCUUU
rnacentral:tRNA from 1 species